UUUCUCGUAUGUUUCCACGAUAAUUCUUCGUUGUUAUCGUUAUAAUUUUUUUCUUAAGUACGCAAUUUCAUUUCAAAUUAAAUAUUAAUAAAAAAAAAAUAAAAACGAUCGAGCGCUGUUUUAUAAAUUAUCACAACAGCUGCCGCGUGUACAUUACGGGCGCACAAUAGGCAGACGGUACGCGUAAAACGUUUCUUUUUUCUACUCCUUAUUCGCAUACCUAAAUGUUCACCGCGAGUUAUUUAUCGACGAUUCCCAUAAUCAUGAUUAUUCAUGAUUUAUUUAUCGAAAUUAUCAUAAUUUGUAUACACGGGUUAGGUUAGGUUAGGUUAGGUUAGGGCUGUGAUACAAUUUGAAUAACGUAAUACCGAUUUACGCUCUAAAGGCUAAAAACAAAAAAAAAAAAAAAAAACAAAUGUUAACAUUUUUUUUUUUUGGUUAUUUUUAAACUAGUUAAUCGCGAAUGCGUUUAUAAUUGGUAAACUAACGAUAAAGCAAAUCGGAGUACACUGGAAUUACGACGCGGACCGCGAACGCGACCAAUCGAAAAUUAUCGCGCGCGAAACGAUACCGGUUUUGUCGUGCAACCGUAUCGUUACGGCGGUAAACGAAAUUCACGAUAAAUUAUUAUAAAAAAACG